AUUGAACGCUGGCGGCAGGCCUAACACAUGCAAGUCGAGCGGAUGAAGGGAGCUUGCUCCUGGAUUCAGCGGCGGACGGGUGAGUAAUGCCUAGGAAUCUGCCUGGUAGUGGGGGAUAACGUCCGGAAACGGGCGCUAAUACCGCAUACGUCCUGAGGGAGAAGGUGGGGGAUCUUCGGACCUCACGCUAUCAGAUGAGCCUAGGUCGGAUUAGCUAGUUGGUGGGGUAAAGGCCUACCAAGGCGACGAUCCGUAACUGGUCUGAGAGGAUGAUCAGUCACACUGGAACUGAGACACGGUCCAGACUCCUACGGGAGGCAGCAGUGGGGAAUAUUGGACAAUGGGCGAAAGCCUGACCCAGCCAUGCCGCGUGUGUGAAGAAGGUCUUCGGAUUGUAAAGCACUUUAAGUUGGGAGGAAGGGCAGUAAGUUAAUACCUUGCUGUUUUGACGUUACCAACAGAAUAAGCACCGGCUAACUUCGUG
rnacentral:rRNA from 1 species